AAAAAAAAAAAAAGGUAGCCGCUAUUACAUACUCAGAAUUCGCAAAAAAUAAAAAAAAAACUAACACUUUCAAUUCGCUCCCCUUCACGACUGCUCCUCCUUCACCCCUUCACUGCUCCUCCUUCUCCUUCACCUCUCUUCCUUCUCUGUCGCUGCAUCUCUCUCCAUUAAUUGUUGUUUUGGUUUGUUCGAAUUUGGGAUCAGCUUUAGAGGAUUUUUAUCAAAGUUUGAGUUGGGGAAGGAACCAAAAUAGGCCAGCUUGGUAUUGGAACUGCUGAGGAUUCUCUUAUCCCACAAAAGAUUCAAGCUUUCCAGGGAAUACCUGUGAAAAUGGUAGCUGCUGGUGCUGAGCAUAGUGCUGCUGUCACGGAGCCUGGUGAGGUGUAUGGCUGGGGAUGGGGCCGAUACGGAAAUUUGGGGUUAGGUGACAGAAAGGAUCGCUUAGUUCCCGAGAUAUCUUCGUCAAUUGAUGAGUAUUUGGCAAGACUUGCAGCCUACAACGAUGUAGAAUUGGAUGAGAUUCGAGAACAAUGGGGUAAGUUUUUUAGGCUUAAUUUUUUUUUGAAAGACUAGUUAUCUUAUUAAUUGAUGUUAUGAUUUAUCACAUUUAGCUUAAUAAAAUGAUAUAACACAUUUUUAUAUAUCUACUUUAAUUUUAUUUA